GCAAUGGAGAACAUUUACAGAGGACUGUGGGUAAAGCAAAGUCUUCAAGGGAAGAUAACAAAGGAUGAAACAAUGGUGUUGUGUGACUUCCUAGUAAAAUCUACUGGUGGAGUCACUCCAUUAUUCUUAUCUGUGGAGAUCUAGAUCUUGAUUUGAAAGUUUCUGAGAAAAUCUUCAGCUCAGACUUGAGGGUCAACUUUACCAGCUGAAGGAUCUGCAUUUACUGCUCAACCACAUCUAAUUUGAUGUCCUCUGCAGAUUUAAAAUGUGUGCCUUCUUUUCCGUCACCAAGUCAUCCCUGGGUUACUACUGAACAUCCUUCUCAAUUCCCCCCGACCCAUGGAUGGCUGUUCUCCAUUGUCUGUUUCACCAGAUGUCCUCAAAACAAACAGACAGAAGAAGGAAGUGGCUAAUGGAGCUGUGGAGUCCAAGUGUGACUGCCAAGAGGAAUCCAGCAAAGCCAAAAAGCCCAAGCAUGUAGCCCUGCCCGAAGCACGCCACACGCAUGGAAAACCCAGAGGAAAUGAGUGAGGAUCAAUGGGAAGAAGAGAGCCAGCCAGGAAGUUGAAGAUUUGUCCAGGAGCAGAUAGCUGAAGAGAGAGAGAGAGAAGAGAGAACGGCUUACAGCUCAGGUCCUCUCUCCAUGCUUAGGAACCACUACAAAUGCUACUGCCUUGAGUCUCAUUUUGUUUCCCUCUGGAAACCACAUGUGUACCUUGUUUGCAACAGUAUGGGUAUGGAUGUUUUGGUAGUUCUUACACAUUUAUUUUAAAAUUUAAAGAAGUAGUGCCAUAAAGCUUUAUCA
rnacentral:lncRNA from 1 species